CCUACGGGAGGCUGCAGUGGGGAAUAUUGGGCAAUGGAGGCAACUCUGACCCAGCAACGCCGCGUGGGCGAUGAAGGUCUUCGGAUUGUAAAGCUCUUUAAGCGAGGACGAAGAAAGUGACUGUACCCGCAGAAUAAGCCUCGUAUAACUACGUGCAAGCAGCCGCGGGAAUACGUCGGGGGCAAGAGUUCUCCGGAAUGAAGUGGCGUAAGGGGUGCGGAGGUGGUUUGGCAAGUGGGGAGCGGAAUCCCGGGGCUCAACCUCGAUGCUAGUACCAAAACUGUUGAACUUGAGUGCAGGAGGGGUGAAUGGAAUUCCCAGUGUAGCGGUGGAAUGCGUAGAUAUUGGGAAGAACACCAGCGGCGAAGGCGAUUCACUGGACUGUAACUGACACUGAGGCACGAAAGCGUGGGGAGCAAACAGGAUUAGAUACCCCAGUAGUC
rnacentral:rRNA from 1 species